rnacentral:tRNA from 1 species
CAGUAAAUAGUUUAUAAAAAUAUCAAUUUUGGAGAUUGAAGAUAAGUUAGAUUUCUUUUUACUGA